CUGGAAGUCAUAAAUGGAUCAGCUGUUAAGUUUUGUUCAAAUGUGAGAAAUGUUUUAAACAUUUUCAGAUGUUCCGCAAACUCCACAAUGGCUAUGUUGACAUGCUUUGUAAUCCAUUCUACACUCCAGGAGAGAACAUUUCCUCUAGGCUGUUUGACAAUACAGUACUAUCUAUGAUGCAACAGGAUUGAGGUGAAGCUGUUAGGGAUAUUAAAUGACACACACAAUAUGAAUGAGAGAAGAAGAUAAAUGUUAUUUAAUGAUGUAGAGAAAGUAGAAAGGGAGACUGAAAAUACAAGAAUAUGGGAGAGAGAAAGGGGAGAUAAUUUGGAAUGUGUAUGAGAGAGAGAGAGAGAGAUAUACAAGGAUGGACAGAAGAGGAGAGACAGAAAUUGUGCUAAAUAAAUGAGGAGGAAAGACAGAAGAAGAGACAGAAGGAAUAAAAGUUUAUGUCAAACAAACAUGAAACAGAGUACAGAAGAGACACAAGAGGAUGAAAACAGAUGGAGAAGGAAAUAUGUGAAAGUCCAAUAAGGGCUAUUACAGUAAAAUAUAUACACUACAGGAUGACUCCAGAAAUAAAAAAAAAGUAUGUGUGGUAGGUUUGAGAGAAAACCUGGAUUAUCAUAUGGUACUAUUUUAAUUAAAUCACUUCUUUUUCUGUACUUUUUUGUUAAACCUGGAUUCCUCCCGUUAUUUAGGUAUUUUGCUGGAUUAUAGCCCUACGAACUUGCGUUUUAUUUGAUGAGUUUUAAUUAUCAAUAUAACUUUCAUUCCAAUAGUAAUACAAUUCAUGUAAUUUUUGCACAGUUAAUAUCAUUAGGUGAUGAUAAUACUGGUCUUAGAUAUAUGAGAUGGAUUUCAAUGUCAUUAGUAAUAACCAUUUUAAAGAAUUGGAUUAUUUUGCGAACAGUUAUUUUAAAGACUUGGACUAUGAUAUCGUUGGGAAGAGCCUUUUCUGUUUGAAUGUCUGCUUGAAUUACAUGUGAAUAUAUCUGCUGUCAAAACUGAGAUCAUGACCUGUAUCACGCAUGUUUGGACUAAAUUAUUUGGUUCAGUCAGAAACAAUUCAAAUUUAAUAGAAGAUCAAUUGCAGUAAUUCAGUAAACUGAACAGUACUUUGCCUGACCAUUGUGUAUUAUUUGUAUUUCUAUGAUUAAUAUUACAUUUAGUGAAAUGUUGAAAUAAUUUGUGCAAUAUUAAAAUACCUUGACGAUUUUCA